AGCAUUAACAAGAACCAUCACAGGGUAACAUAUUCUGACGGGGAGUAUUUUUUUUAACAGAAUCAUCACAGUCCCAUGUUGACCUGGUGGUUAAGUUUUUUGUAUUAUUCAGAACCAUUAAACAGGGUUAUGACCUAACAGGUAGGUUUUAUUGUUUUAAUCAGAACCAUCACACAGGAGGCAUAUCCUGGUAGGGAAGUUUUAUAGUAUUAACCAGAACCAUCAAACAAGAUCACAUGUCUAGGUGGUAAGGUUUUUUAUUGAAUUAAAGAGAACUAUCACAGGGUAAUGGCCUAUCAGGGAGGUUUUAUUGUAUUAAUGAGAACCACCAUGGGGUCUAGGCCUAUCAUGGAGGUUUUAUUGUAAUAAUCAGAACCAACAGGGGGUCUAGGCCUAUCAGGGAGGUUUUGUUGUAUUAAUGAGAACCACCAUGGGGUCUAGGCCUAUCAGGGAGGUUUCAUUGUAAUAAUCAGAACUAUCACAGGGUAAUGGCCUAUCAGGGAGGUUUUGUUGUAUUAAUGAGAACCACCAUGGGGUCUAGGCCUAUCAGGGAGGUUUCAUUGUAAUAAUCAGAACUAUCACAGGGUAAUGGCCUAUCAGGGAGGUUUUGUUGUAUUAAUGAGAACCACCAUGGGGUCUAGGCCUAUCAGGGAGGUUUUGUUGUAUUAAUCAGAACCAUCACAGGGUCUAGGCCUAUCAGGGAGGUUUUGUUGUAUCAAUCAGAACCACCACGGGUUCUAGGCCUAUCAGGGAGGUUUUGUUGUAUCAAUCAGAACCACCAUGGGUUCUAGGCCUAUCAGGGAGGUUUUAUUGUAUUAAUCAGAACCACCACAGGUUCUAGGCCUAUCAGGGAGGUUUUGUUGUAUUAAUCAGAACCACCACGGGUUCUAGGCCUAUCAGGGAGGUAUUAUUGUAUUAAUCAGAACCAUCCAUAGGGGGCACAUGACCUGGUAGCGAGGUUUUAUUGUAUUUCUAACAACCAUUACACAAAGAACAUGACCUGGGAGGGAGGUUUACUUGUAUUCAUAAGAACCAUUACACAAGAAACAUGACC